rnacentral:ribozyme from 1 species
GAGAAAGAAAGAGAUAGGAAGGAAGAAAAGAAGAAGGAAAAGAAAAAGAAUCGUUUGGGACACGUUACACUUUUCAGACAUUACUAUUUUCAGUUGCACUUU